CGUCAUUUCAACCAUCAAGCCCCCGGGCUUGCGUUGGGGCACCGCGGCCGCUGCGGUCCCUGAAACCAGUGGCGGGCUCGCUGUCACUCCGGGCGCAGUACUAUAUCUCGCUCUGGUUGUGCGGCGGGUGCCGGCCGUUAAACACCCCCCUUCAUACCAAGGUUGACCUCGGAUCAGGUAGGAAUACCCGCUGAACUUAA
rnacentral:misc_RNA from 1 species